rnacentral:lncRNA from 1 species
GGGGGCUCAAGCCCCCACUGGUCACAUGCUAGAUCCGCCCAUGGGUACAACUUGACAAAACGGUGGUGAUUAUUCUUAAUGUCUGCCAUCAAUUCCUAAGCUAUACUACAUUUUGAAGCUGUCGUUUAACCAUUUAAUAAUGCGAUCAUUUUAAAAUGCGAUUGUAACAUGAGAAAUAAUUUGGAUUAAGCGUAAUUAUUCGAUAUCUUGUCUCUUUGGAUGUAUUUAUUUUGUAAUUCUCGUUAAAUUUGAGCGGUCAAAAACAUUUUUUCCCUGUCUGCUUCUGAUGUAUUGGGUGUAUUUUCUUGGAUGGCGGAUGGUGUGUGGUGCCCAUUCCCACGAUUUGACUGGGAUUUAUUUAAAUUUUUUUCUUUUUUUUAAUUUACCAUGAUUUUUAAGAAUUUAAUUUCUAUUAAAAUUUAAUAUACAUCAUAAUAUAGAAUUUAAAUUCCACACUAAAGAGUGAUAAAUUUGAAUUCAUUUUCUAUUGGAAGCCAAAACAUCCAAAAUUAUCCCUUCAAUCUUUUAUUAACUUGUUUAAUAUUAUCAAAUUAUUAUUAUUUACAAAUUUAUUUUAUCAUUUUAAUAUUGCAGAUAAUUAGUUUUGUAUUAGUAAAAAUUAAAGAAAUGAUUUAAAUAAUUUAAUAAAAUCACUUUAUUUAUUUUAUUAAUUUUAAAAAAUAGAAAUACAAAUUUAACAACCACUGGACCGCCGUCGUUACCACCGUCAGACUGCCGCCUCUGCCGUCGACACUUGGCGUGGGAUGUCACCGCUCGUACCGUUGGAGUCGGUGGCCAAUGAGAAACGUCGUUAUACCGUCACACAAGUGAAAAAAAUGAAUUUAUCUUCUUCAAAUCAUGUUAAAAGAAAUUUGAAAACUUUCUAACUAUCUUAAAUCUAGACGAACAUCAAGUAUUUCGACCAAAUAAGUUGUUUCAAUCUAUAGAUCGUCAAGUUCUGAUCAUUUUCAUAUAAUUCUCGAGCUGAAAUGACAUGGUAUAGUGGUGGCCGGUGGCAAGACACAACGGUUCCGACGGCGGCAACUCUUUUUUUUUUUGUUGUUCAAA